rnacentral:rRNA from 1 species
GAGGAUGCUUCGGGUUCGGCUCCGAUCUAAGUCCUUGGAACAGGACGUCAUAGAGGGUGAGAAUCCCGUAUGUGACCGGCCGCCACGCCCGUGUGAAGCUCCUUCGACGAGUCGAGUUGUUUGGGAAUGCAGCUCAAAAUGGGUGGUAAAUUUCAUCUAAAGCUAAAUAUUGGCCAGAGACCGAUAGCGCACAAGUAGAGUGAUCGAAAGAUGAAAAGCACUUUGGAAAGAGAGUUAAAAAGUACGUGAAAUUGUUGAAAGGGAAGCGCUUGCGACCAGACUUGCCCGCGGGCGAUCAGCCGGUGUUUUCACCGGUGCACUCGCCCGCGGUCAGGCCAGCAUCGGUUUGGGCGGUCGGAUAAAGUCCCCCGGAACGUAGCUCCUCUCGGGGAGUGUUAUAGCCGGGGGUGCAAUGCGACCCGCCCGGACCGAGGACCGCGCUUCGGCUAGGAUGCUGGCGUAAUGGUCGUAAGCGACCCGUCUUGAAACACGGACCAAGGAGUCUAACAUCUAUGCGAGUGUUUGGGUGUCAAACCCAUGCGCGUAAUGAAAGUGAACGGAGGUGGGAACCCUCAAGGGUGCACCAUCGACCGAUCCUGAUGUCUUCGGAUGGAUUUGAGUAAGAGCAUAGCUGUUGGGACCCGAAAGAUGGUGAACUAUGCCUGAAUAGGGUGAAGCCAGAGGAAACUCUGGUGGAGGCUC